AUUGAACGCUGGCGGCAGGCCUAACACAUGCAAGUCGAGCGGAUGCAGAGAGCUUGCUCUCUGAUUUAGCGGCGGACGGGUGAGUAAUACCUCGGAAUCUGCCUGGUAGUGGGGGAUAACGUCCGGAAACGGGCGCUAAUACCGCAUACGUCCUACGGAAGAAAGCAGGGGACCUUAGGACCUUGCGCUAUCAGAGUAGCCGAGGUCGGAUUAGCUAGUUGGUGAGGUAAAGGCUCACCAAGGCUACGAUCCGUAACUGGUCUGAGAGGAUGAUCAGUAACACUGGAACUGAGACACGGUCCAGACUCCUACGGGAGGCAGCAGUGGGGAAUUUUGGACAAUGGGCGAAAGCCUGAUCCAGCCAUGCCGCGUGUGUGAAGAAGGUCUUCGGAUUGUAAAGCACUUUUAUGUGGGAGGAAGGGCUGUAAGUUAAUACCUUGCUGUAUUGACGUUACCGGAAGAAUAAGCACCGGCUAACUUCGUGCCAGCCGCCGCCGUAACAC
rnacentral:rRNA from 1 species